CUAAAUUGGCCGCUCAGCGGUUUGCCUCUAAUCUCACUAGACGCUCAACGGCACUGCUUGGGCGAGAAACAGUGAUUUCCCCUUCGUCUCUGGCGCUCAGCGCUGGAAUUUGGCACUGAGCGGUGGACUUGACUCUUCUUUUCUUCCUUUUUUCCUCUUUUCUCGAGUCUAAGUCCUUCCUACUUCACUUCCAUCUUCAAUUCUCAUCAAAAC
rnacentral:lncRNA from 1 species